rnacentral:tRNA from 1 species
GCUUAAUUAGUUUAACCAAAACGUUAGAUUGUGGAGCUAAAAAUUGUUCAUUAAGCA